CUUAAGCUGCUCUUCUGGAGUUUGGCUGCCUUAAACCACCUUUGAAACUGAAAGCUUUAAUGGAAUUGAUAAAAACUGAGAGUCUUUUCUGGGGGGGGGAUGAGGGUUGGGAAGAAGGAUGGGAAAAUGGAAAACUAUAGUAGGAUGAAAAAUUCCUUGGGGAAAAGGAGGCAGAGGGGAGACCUUAUUGCUCUCUUCCAAUAUCCGAAAGGUGCUUACAGUGAGAGCGGGGUUGGUCUCUUCUCACUGCUGACAGGUGACAGGAUGAGGGGAAAUGGCCUCAAGUUGUGCCAGGGUAAGUUUAGCUUGGAUAUCAGGAAAAACUUAUUUACUGAAAGGGUGGUUAAGCACUGGAAUAGGCUCCCAUCCCUGGAUGUGUUUAAAAACCGUUUGGAUGUGGUGCUCAGGGACAUGAUUUAGUGGAGGGUUGUUAGAGUUAGGGUAGUAUGGUUGUGGUUGGACUUGGUGAUCUUUAAGGUCUUUUCCAACCUGAGCAAUUCUAUGGUUCUAUAAUGAAUGCACAUGCAGCCCCCAUCUCCCAUUCAGUGGUUUGAUCCUCCUGCAUGUUGAUAAUGCUUUCUGAAUUACAUGGUUCUCAAUAAAUGUCAAUAGGCUCCUGUACUGAAUAAAAACAAAGGUGGUCACAGGGUCAGCCACUG
ensembl:lncRNA